AAGACCUUUAAUCACAGUCCCGUGAGGCUGAAAAGGAGACGGAUAUUUACCCUUUUCUGCCUACGUAUGUCAGAAAAGGGUUUUUUAUU
rfam:Salimicrobium flavidum strain DSM 23127 genome assembly, contig: Ga0111645_101